GCGUCCGGACGCGCGACAGCUUCCACCCGCCUCAGGCAGUAUCAGCCGCGCCGCAGUCGGAGGAAAUAGACGCGGGGCCUGAGGCUCCUGGACUUGAGGAUUCAAGACAGCCGAUGAUGAAAACACCCAUGCUUGCAAGUGAAGGUUCUGCCUGUCACUUCUCGCAGAGGCUGCAGAAAAGGCCCAGGAGGCUGUUGAUGACAUGAACGACCACCAGGAGAAGCUGGAGCAGGCUGAUGCACAGAAGGGCGGAGAAGAGGGACACGUGCCAGACAACAGCUGCAGAGGGCUCCAGGCAGACGGAGUUCCAGAGCGAACGGUCAUACAGAUAAUUCCUAUCCCAAAAAAUAAGGAGACCAGGGGUCAGGCGAUAAGUAAGGAAAGCCAAACAGGCAACCCCAGUAGAAAACUGGGGUCUCCCCUGACCGGGUCAUGGGACUGGGCUCAUGAGGGUGACCGUUACUGCUCCAUUUGCAAUUUUCUGAGUAUCAGAGGAGCAAGAUGCUAGGAUGUGUGACCCAAAGGAGCUUGUAGUUCGUCUGUGUGUCUUUUUGUCUCUCUCUCUCUCUCUGUCUGAAAAGACCAAGCCCAAGCCUCCACCCAUUUACCUACUAUGCAGGUCUUUGAAUGGGUAACCAUAUUUCCAAGCUUGUGUCUGAUUGAAGGAUGAAACAUCAAACAUGCAAAAAGGACCAUCUUUCAGAGCAACUCCAGAAGUGACAAAGCAAAUCAGGGCUCCAAGUAAAGCCAGGCCACCUGACAACAGAGCAGU
rnacentral:lncRNA from 10 species